rnacentral:rRNA from 1 species
UGCGAGUCGACACAGCAUUGUGUGGCAUACGGCUCAGUAACACGUAGUCAACAUGCCCAGGGGACGUGGAUAACCUCGGGAAACUGAGGAUAAACCGCGAUAGGUCACUACUUCUGGAAUGGGUAACGACCCAAACCUAUAUGGCCCCUGGAUUGGACUGCGGCCGAUCAGGCUGUUGGUGAGGUAAUGGCCCACCAAACCUGUAACCGGUACGGGCUCUGAGAGGAGGAGCCCGGAGAUGGGCACUGAGACAAGGGCCCAGGCCCUAUGGGGCGCAGCAGGCGCGAAACCUCUGCAAUAGGCGAAAGCUUGACAGGGUUACUCUGAGUGAUUUCCGUUAAGGAGAUCUUUUGGCACCUCUAAAAAUGGUGCAGAAUAAGGGGUGGGCAAGUCUGGUGUCAGCCGCCGCGGUAAUACCAGCACCCCGAGUGGUCGGGACGUUUAUUGGGCCUAAAGCAUCCGUAGCCGGUUCUACAAGUCUUCCGUUAAAUCCACCUGCUCAACAGAUGGGCUGCGGAAGAUACUAUGGAGCUAGGAGGCGGGAGAGGCAAGCGGUACUCGAUGGGUAGGGGUAAAAUCCGUUGAUCCAUUGAAGACCACCAGUGGCGAAGGCGGCUUGCCAGAACGCGCUCGACGGUGAGGGAUGAAAGCUGGGGGAGCAAACCGGAUUAGAUACCCGGGUAGUCCCAGCUGUAAACGAUGCAGACUCGGUGAUGAGUUGGCUUUAUGCCAACUCAGUGCCGCAGGGAAGCCGUUAAGUUUGCCGCCUGGGGAGUACGGUCGCAAGACUGAAACUUAAAGGAAUUGGCGGGGGAGCACCACAAGGGGUGAAGCCUGCGGUUCAAUUGGAUUCAACGCCGGA